GGAUGACUUGUGGCUGGGGGUGAAAGGCCAAUCAAACCGGGAGAUAGCUGGUUCUCCCCGAAAGCUAUUUAGGUAGCGCCUCGUGAAUUCAUCUCCGGGGGUAGAGCACUGUUUCGGCAAGGGGGUCAUCCCGACUUACCAACCCGAUGCAAACUGCGAAUACCGGAGAAUGUUAUCACGGGAGACACACGGCGGGUGCUAACGUCCGUCGUGAAGAGGGAAACAACCCAGACCGCCAGCUAAGGUCCCAAAGUCAUGGUUAAGUGGGAAACGAUGUGGGAAGGCCCAGACAGCCAGGAUGUUGGCUUAGAAGCAGCCAUCAUUUAAAGAAAGCGUAAUAGCUCACUGGUCGAGUCGGCCUGCGCGGAAGAUGUAACGGGGCUAAACCAUGCACCGAAGCUGCGGCAGCGACACUAUGUGUUGUUGGGUAGGGGAGC
rnacentral:rRNA from 1 species